CUAUAGCCCCGAUUGCAGUAGAAAUCCUUUUUUUGAGAAAAAAGAUUGGAGCGAAAAGCGGGAAAAAGC
rnacentral:sRNA from 1 species